GAAAAGAUUCUGCUUUCAGGUUAUCGGAGAUGGUGAUUUGAAGAAUCAGGUUUCCAAUAUGAACAAAGCAAAAGCGUCAUCUGAAAAAAGUGUUUCUACCAGUUCUCAGACUAUGUCUCUGCUGUCACAGCUGGAGAAGAUCAAUUUGGAUUCUGUAUUAGGAGAAGCAGACAAUGCCAGAUAUGUUACCUCAGAGAUCCUUCAUCUAGUUCAGAGUCAAGAAAAAAACAAGGAGGAGAUGACUUCUAAGGGCUCCACUGGAAUAGAAGUUAUCCUGUCAGCCCUAGAGGUAAAACCUUCCGAUCUGUGUGGUUAUGGAAUACAAAAGAUCCUCAAAGUAUUCGAAAUAUAUUGAAUAUCCUCAUUGAGAUUGUGUCAGUUGGUGGCGGUCAGAGGGCAGGCGUCUUAGUCACUAAAGGAGGGACACAGAUCUUAUUGCAGUUGCUUUUGACUGCCAGCAAAGACUCUCCACCAACUGGAGAAUUAAUGGUGCUUCUUCAUACUCUUCUUGCAAAAAUUGGUCCAAAAGACAAAAAGAUUGGCAUGAAAGCAAGAAUUAAUGGUGCCCUAAACAUAUCAUUGAAUUUAGUGAAGCAGAAUUUGCAAAACCACAGGCUAAUAUUGCCAUGUCUUCAAGUAUUAAGAGUUUACUCAACCAACUGUAAGUACUGCUGAUAGUUCUUUUUUUUCCCAUGUGAUACAAAAGUUUUUACCUAGAUACAGUUGAAACAUCCGAUCUACAUGCUUGUUCAAUGUUAGAUGUUUAAAAUAAUUAUUUU